CGGGGGCGGGCUCCGGCUCCGGCGCGCGUUGCGAUUGGCGCGAUGACGACGCCGCCUCGAGCGUCGGGCGGGAGGCCAUUUUGGGGGCGGGAUCCCCUCGCGGCCCGCUCGGUCUUCCAGGGUGGGCGGCCCUUCGGCGGCCAUCUUAAGUAUGGGCAAAGGAAUGCGAGCGCGUGGAUGGGUCUUGGAAGCGAACGCGGCCGGCGGCGGAAGCCUGGCACGUGAGGAUGCCGCGGCCAUUUUGAGAACGGGCAUAUCGAAGUAUACAUGUUUCCACUGCUGUAAUAUUGUUGUAGCUGGAUCCCGAGUUCAGGUGCUGACAAUUCAACAACAAAACAAGCACACGGUCCUGGGGUUAGAUAAUUUUAGACCCUGGAUUGCAUAGUCUCUUUUGAGUCCCCCUAACAAAGGGGUAGGAAAAAUUCAAGAAAGGAUUCUUUGGUUUGGAGAACUAUGGAACUCCCUGCCACAAGGAAGUCGUUGUGGUAAAAGGAUUUAGCAAUUCCCAAAGAGGGGCUAGAUAUCCAUAGAAAAUGUGCUCCAUAAAAUGUGUUGGGGGUUGUUUUUAUUCUGAUUAUGUAUUUGGUGUUUUUAUAUUGUAUCCUGUGAGAACUGCAAGGUAUAGGGUGAUGAUAAUAGUAAUAAUAUUAAUAAUAAUAAGAAUAAUAAGAAUAAGAAUAAAUUUAAUGAUAAUAAUAAUAGGUUUUCCCAGUAGUGAUGUAUGGAAGUGAGAGCUGGACCAUAAAGAAAGCUGAUUGCCAAAAAAUUGAUGCUUUUGAAUUCUGGUGCUGGAGGAGACUCUUGAGAGUCCCAUGGACUGCAAGAAGAUCCAACCUCUCCAUUCUGAAGGAAAUCAGCCCUGAGUGCUCACGGGAAGGACAGAUCCUGAAGCUGAGGCUCCAAGACUUUGGCCACCUCAUGAGAAGAGAAGACUCCCUGGAAAAGACCCUGAUGCUGGGAAAGAUGGAGGGCGCAAGGAGAAGGGGACGACGGAGGACGAGAUGGUGGGACAGUGUUCUUGAAGCUACCAGAAUGAGUUUGACCAAACUGCAGGAGGCAGUGGAAGACAGGAGGGCCUGGCGUGCUCUGGUCCAGGGGGUCACGAAGAGGCGGACACGACCAAACGACUGAACAACAACAACAUGCCAAGCGCUGCCUCUUUGGGGCUGGCACUGCUCCUGCACCACCAUUUUGGGGGCCAGUGAGACUCAGUAAUUUUCUCCCAUCUCGGGUGGGCCCUGGAGAAAUUUCCAGCCGAAUUUGGGGGGGACCACCGUUGCAUUCAGCUAUUUCAAUUGCUUUUGUUCGAUUUGCUCAUUGCAGACAGCAGAAAGCCUGCCAAUUUCGAAAACAAACCCGGUUUGCAAUGGGGGUUGAAUAAUUUCGAUGGCAACUAUAGCUAUUGUCAACCGUGGAAGGGGAACUUAAGGCGCAGAAACCGGGAGAAAUGACUACAUGGUAGUUGGGGAAGGAGACCUGGGGGUGGGGAAUGAAGAAUGGGAGUGCAAGAAAGGCAUUUUAAAUUCAGUUCUCUUUGCUUUCAUUUCAGGCUCCCGUCUCCAGUUCACCAGCUGUUUGGCAGCAACAGCGCCGAAUGCUUAUUCUGUUACACGGCUGUAUUGGGUUUCGGCCGGGAGGGAUGUAAUUUCAAUUCCAGGUUGCCUUUCUUUGCCCUCCCCUCCACCCCCCAUUUAGCCGAGAGACUUGUGAACUUACGGGCCCGCAAGAGGCAGAAAUCUGGGUUCUGUGACCGAAAGGAAUCCUGGAAAACCAAGUGUGUUUCUCACUCGGAUCUCGUUGCGAACAUCAGGGGUUGUAGCUGUGAUAGGAAUUUUGAGGUCUUAGAUAUAUGGUAAUGUUCAUAAGUGUACCAACCAAGCACAUACAUAGAUCAGCACAGGAAGACCGACCUGAAACCAUUUUGAUUCCUAAACUGACCAAAUGAUUUCUCUGCACGGUCAAAGUGGGAAACCUCCCCAUUGUCUCUUCCCUCACAAAUCCUGUCUUAAGGGCACAUUUAAGAUAUGAAUAGGGUGUGAGCCUGUGUCCUGGCCCAGGAACUUAGUAUUUAUCAUUACAAAAAACUGGCCAGGCUCCCCAGGAAAUCCAGUCAAGUAACCUACCAGACAGGAGAAAAACAACAUUCAAAUUUCUGUUUUAGACUGCCUUUUCUGUGAUGUAGGUGUGAUGUAUCUGAGGGGUGGUCUUAGGUUACACCCCUUCUGUGAUGUAGGUAUGAUGUUUCUGGGGGUGGUCUUGAUCUACAGGGUGGCAAUUUCAAAAGUCUUUAUAAGGCCUUGUGCG
rnacentral:lncRNA from 1 species